AUAGGCAGAUACUGCCCCAAAGUGUGGGGAAAAGUAUGAGGAAUUUGGUAUAGGUACUUUUCACGACGGGUUUUGUGACACAAUUCGCGCCUCACGGGUUGGCAACAUUGCAGCUUGCGGGCCUGCGGCGGUGUACUGGUAUUAGACGUGUCACUGGCGCUGGUAGUAGAGGUAUACACUCAGUACAGUGCUACCCUCAUUCUACCUUCACGUUCCUUCGGACGCACAGUCAAGUUGACUCGACUUAACCACUCAAAAUCGCUCGUAUAUUGCAUUGCCUGGCGGGACGUGAAGGAGAGGGGCGGACUGGAACCCAAACCGAGGCCAACAGUGGAGGCGGCGGGCAGGGACCUGAACACACCUUCGCCAUGGAGGGGAGAUCCUGAGGAGCCUCGGCCAAACCCUGAGAUCCCUUGUAUCCUGUCUCGCCCUUUGCUCCUGGGUAGCCACGAGGACCCCUUGGACCCACUUCACCAGGGAUGCCAGGAGACCCUUGAGGACCUGGGCGGCUUGAGGGCAUCAGGGGAACUACCUCAGGGUGCACGCCUUCCAAGUGGGACUGGAAGAAAAGGAGAAAGUGGUGGAUUGGUUAAUGAAGAGUUGGGCUUUCGUGUUUUGAGUGCCUGGGGGACUCGGGUUGCCAUCCCUGCCUGGCGCUCCCGGCGGUCCACGAGGGAUGCGGGCGCUCACUAAGUGGACCAGAGUGGACAAAUUGCAUCCGCACCGCCCACCUACCCCGAUUUCAUCCGCCCAUUCCUCCUGUGGGCGACAGAAAGGAGGUUUAAGAUGGAUGGAUCAUGAUGUGUAUAGAAUCUCUGGAAAACGUAUUCAAGUUUUAGGCGAUCAAACCCAACUCCAAGAGAUACAAGCCUUCUCUAUAGCGGUUCGAGAGCCUAUCAAGAGAGUUCGGAGCUUCUGUUACUGUGGAGUAGUAUUGGACCUCAGGCUGCCCGGCUCUCCACACGUACGUCUCCUCCUCAGCGAGUCCUGCACCUGGCUUCCUUCCCAGUGCGUGAAAAAAGGGAAAUAUUUAGGCCUCUCGUGUGUCUUCUCCAUUCUUUUGACGACAAACUAUACGGUUGAAGUCUGAAUACUUAGUCCUAAACAUACCAUUGGAUCCUCUAUACACGGCACUGGUGAAGUGGCAGUGUGGUUACCCGCUUGUGCAUGCCCAUGGGUCCCCGAGCCUCCUCGCUGGUCACCUCAACGCCUUCCUCCUUGAACAGCUCCAUGAAGGCACCGGCAGGAGAGAACACGCCGCAGUCAAUCACCGUACCUGUAAACCAAGAUAUGUGUGUUUCUACUUAUCUACUGGAUGUUCCCUGCGGUAGAGGAGCGUUCACUUCAUGUUUAUUGAACCAGUCUCCACAUUAUUUUUACCUCUGUAUUUUCUUUCUGGAACUGAAAUUUAGAAUUUCAAGAUAUUCACAGACAAAAUCUUACUAUUACACAUGAAUCUGAGACAUUAAUCAUACGUACUUCAAAAUCAGUAAAGAAAUCUUAUGAAAAAAUGUACACAGCUUUAGGAAAUGGGCAAAUACGUCUUAAUGCUUAGUAGUGUUGCAGGAUUGUUUAACAACGUGGAUACUGCAAGAAACUAAUUAUGACCAUUUCAAAAAAAAAUUUAUUUAUUCAUUAUUAAUUUGUAAUGUCACCUGAUAUGGACACGACUCAUACACGUACUGUCUGAGCAGCACUACAUAAACACGAGAUGCUCCACACGCAGGUGCAUCCAUUGUUACCCGCUUCAAUUACCUGCUUAUGGUCAAUCAUUUUGAACUAGUGUAUCUACGAAUUCUUGUACUUUUUAAUAACAAUUUUAUAACUGUAAGUGUUGAAAAUGUUACACAUGUAUACCAGUUAAGUGAUGAAUAGCUUCAAUUUUUACCUUCCCUCCCUAAGAAUAUAUUCCUAGUGAUCUUCCUCUUCUAAGAUCUUCAUGUUAGCCAUAUUCUAUAGUCAUCUUUCUCAGGGUGUCCAGUAAACACAAAUGCAUUUCUCAUCAUCUACUAAGCCAUUGUUUUCCCAGUAUUAUGUAACUUUUCUCCUUACACUAAAAAAAUAAUUUUGCUCAAAUUCGCCUUCACUUCAUGUAUAUUAUAAUUUUCAUUCUUUACAAAUUCACACAUUUAACAAUCCAUGAACAUUUCACCAUUCUUGCUAUCUUCCCUGUCUAUUAUAGAUACUUUUCAAGCAACUGCCUCAAUAGAACAUAUUCUUAGAUAAAAAAUAAAAAAUAAAAAAAAUAAAAAGAAGCUGCAAGGUUCUGGCAGGCCCUGCAUCUAGAAUUGCACUCCUUUGUUUCCUCUUUAUUUUCUUUGUUUUACACCACAAUGCUUUCAUUUUUCUUCCAUGUUCUCCCACAGAUUCAUCCCCAUGAUCUGUAGAAUGAUUUAUUUUACAGAUCUGGCAGGAACUUGCCAAUUAAGUCAUGAAAUAAGAUAACUGUUCUAUACAUCUGACAAGCAUCCACAUAAUGAAGUUUAAGAUUAAAAAAUAGAUGAAUCUGAAUACAAUUUUGGGGCUUGGUGAAGAAAGCAUUUAAUAUCAACUUCCACUUAUCUUAAUUCAUAGAGCCAAAGCUAAUUUAAAUUUGUGUGUUAUUUCAUAUCAAUCUAGUUUAUAAUGGUUAAUAUAAUCACCUUCCUCUAAUUGGCUCUUCCAGUUCUUUCAGGAUACAUAUUUAUGCUACAGGGGAGCUAUAAGCAUCUUUAUUUCCUCAAUUUUUCCUCAAAUACAGCUGUUGUUGUAAAUGUGUCACUAUACCUGCCUUUCUGAAUCAAGCUAACUUAAAUUUCAUAUUUAAAUUUUAUAUUAAAAACUUACUCUAUUUCUAAUCAACAAAAACCUAAUUAUUAAACUAGAAUUUUGAUGAAUGACAAAACAAUGAUUGAAGUAUUUAACAAUACAUUAAUAGAGAGAUUUCAUGCAGUUCUUCCUCAAGUGUGUGAAGGUGGCACAGAAGACUUGCUUUCCUUGGAGUAGUGUGUGACAAUAUGAGACCCACCAGGACCAGCAGCAGUGCAUCUGGGCUAGCCAAGACAAAUCUGCAGAGAGCAAAAACGUCUUGAAAUACUUGAUAGCAAGUUGUUAUGAUAAAGCAGUAACAUUAAUGCAGCAUUGCACUAUGCAAAGGAUAGCUGUUUGUAACAGCUAUCCUUAUUGGUUAUAACCUUUCUCACUCUCUUUUCUGUCAUUCAUACUUGCCUCAGCAUUUUAUGUUUGUGUAUUCAUCUCAGUUCACUUCUAGUUCAAGAUAGACCAUUUUCCUUGGUAUUACUUGACUGUAUAACUCAAUACAAUUAAACAAAGCUAAUAUGAUAGAUUAGAUUUACAACAGAAACCAAUAUGAAUAGUUGAAUUUACAAAAUAGUUCCAAAUUCUUUGACACUAGGUUUAUUAUUAUUUUCAGUAACCUUUGAGCUGACACUGGAAAAAAGUUUCUGCAUUACAUGAGGAAAGACCUGAAUGCUAAUUGAUAAUUUGGUAUGUUAACACAGCAAGAUCUCUAGAAAGAGUACUCAUCUGCCAGAGUGGUGUGCCAUUGAGGUACCAUACUCAGCAAGCAGGAUGCAUUCUUCACCUUGCCUCUGUGACUAGGCCACUACCUUUAUUUUAUUUACUACAGUCAUGUAGGAUAUUUAUAUAAUUGUAAUAACUUGCUUUUUGUUCAGCUAUACCUUGCUUUGAAUAUUAAAUGCUUAACCCAUA
rnacentral:lncRNA from 1 species